ACGUGAGUCUAUCAGCAAAACAUCAAACAUUGUAACAGAAGGUGGAUAAGAUAGCUCGGUAACCCAUUUUGAUUUGGUUGUUUCCCUUUGAUAUGCAGCAGGUUCUGUGAUUUUGAGGACAAUCAAAGCCUCGAUGGAGGUGUUUCAUGGUUGUGCCUAUAAAUCAGCAGACAUUAAAGUUGUUGGAAGAUGAUGACCGGAAAGUUGUUCCGACGAUUAUGGAGGAUGAGGCAAAUGAGAAAUCCAAGGAAUUGAUCAAGUUACUGUAGGCUGCUGCAUCUGCAAACCGUGAUUCGGUAUUUGCUUAUGUAGGGGACAAACAGUGGGAAGGCUUUACUGAAUCAUUUAAAAUCACAAAGCGAACCAAUUUUCCGAAUAUGGUGGUUUCGGUUGGAAAUGAGGAGUACUUUACAUGCAUUACUAUGGUGGACUACUAUGUUCCCCUGUUAUUCGAACAGGUAAUGGGGGUUGGGGCCUAGGGCUUCCAUGAAGAAGAAGCUGAUUUCAGAGAGAGUUGGAUAAGCAUGGGAAGCCGAAUGAGAGCAAUCCAGCCUAGUGGUCAAGGAAUGUGGUGGUUCUUCCCAGGGAAGGGGAUUCUGCGGUUGCUGGCCUUGCUGCUGUGAUUAAACCGGUAACGGCGGUUGCAGUGGUUACCAUAGUAGAGGGAGAAAAGAAAAAGAAGAAAAAACAUAAGGAUAAGGAAGAUGGUGAGGAGGGGCGUAAGAGGAAAUUGGAGGAGGUUGAUGGUAGCGGCAGGUAGCCCUGCACCACAUGUUGUGAAGAGGAUGAAAGCUGAUGGAGAUGAGGAAACAGUAUUCGUGAGAAUUGCAUUGAAGAAAGAAAAGAAAAAGAACAAAGAGGAUAAUGAAGAUCUUCAAAUGGGAGAAGGCUAAGAAGGAGAAGAAGAAGAAGGAUAAAGUGAAUGAUGAAAUUGGUUCGUCAGAUCAGUUUGGCAUACGUAAUUGUACUUACCCAAUAAAAAGUUAAUUGUACUCGGGUUGUUCCAAGUACAGAAAUCUAUGGAUUCAUCUAAUUUUCGUUCUUGAUUUGGAGUUGCUAUUCGGAUGUUGAUGCCAUUCAUUUCAUUUGACGUGCAUAGCAGAGGCGUAAUUUUCGAUUUUAGUGCUUCUUUGUCGACGUUGAUUUGUCAGUCUACGUAGAUUUGGGAACAGGAUCCAAGGACAGAGAGAGAAGUGCAAGCAUGAUUUUGCCAUUAGUUUGCGGAGAUAAGCAUCAAAGCAAACUAUAAACUGCAAGCCGACAACAAAUUACGUUUAAAACUUCCGUGUUCUGAAGGAAGUGCGAAGGGAACUGCUUCAAUCCCUAUUUCAGUUUAGGUUGAAUUCAUCAAGGCGAACCCUGUUGGCACCAAGGUAUUAGGAAAUUCCCAGAAAAUUCAACUUCGCCAUUACUGGACGUUUAUGCAUCAUUGUGCCCCGCU